rnacentral:rRNA from 1 species
AGAGUUUGAUCAUGGCUCAGAUUGAACGCUGGCGGCAGGCCUAACACAUGCAAGUCGAGCGGUAGCACAGAGAGCUUGCUCUCGGGUGACGAGCGGCGGACGGGUGAGUAAUGUCUGGGAAACUGCCUGAUGGAGGGGGAUAACUACUGGAAACGGUAGCUAAUACCGCAUAACGUCGCAAGACCAAAGUGGGGGACCUUCGGGCCUCAUGCCAUCAGAUGUGCCCAGAUGGGAUUAGCUAGUAGGUGGGGUAACGGCUCACCUAGGCGACGAUCCCUAGCUGGUCUGAGAGGAUGACCAGCCACACUGGAACUGAGACACGGUCCAGACUCCUACGGGAGGCAGCAGUGGGGAAUAUUGCACAAUGGGCGCAAGCCUGAUGCAGCCAUGCCGCGUGUGUGAAGAAGGCCUUCGGGUUGUAAAGCACUUUCAGCGGGGAGGAAGGCGAUAAGGUUAAUAACCUUGUCGAUUGACGUUACCCGCAGAAGAAGCACCGGCUAACUCCGUGCCAGCAGCCGCGGUAAUACGGAGGGUGCAAGCGUUAAUCGGAAUUACUGGGCGUAAAGCGCACGCAGGCGGUCUGUCAAGUCGGAUGUGAAAUCCCCGGGCUCAACCUGGGAACUGCAUUCGAAACUGGCAGGCUAGAGUCUUGUAGAGGGGGGUAGAAUUCCAGGUGUAGCGGUGAAAUGCGUAGAGAUCUGGAGGAAUACCGGUGGCGAAGGCGGCCCCCUGGACAAAGACUGACGCUCAGGUGCGAAAGCGUGGGGAGCAAACAGGAUUAGAUACCCUGGUAGUCCACGCCGUAAACGAUGUCGAUUUGGAGGUUGUGCCCUUGAGGCGUGGCUUCCGGAGCUAACGCGUUAAAUCGACCGCCUGGGGAGUACGGCCGCAAGGUUAAAACUCAAAUGAAUUGACGGGGGCCCGCACAAGCGGUGGAGCAUGUGGUUUAAUUCGAUGCAACGCGAAGAACCUUACCUGGUCUUGACAUCCACAGAACUUAGCAGAGAUGCUUUGGUGCCUUCGGGAACUGUGAGACAGGUGCUGCAUGGCUGUCGUCAGCUCGUGUUGUGAAAUGUUGGGUUAAGUCCCGCAACGAGCGCAACCCUU